GAACAAGAGAAGCUCAAAUCUUCUUAUUGUGAAAACAUAUCGAAAUGACGGCAUCGAGUUUCUGAAAGAUCACGGCUUCUAAGUAGACGGGCAGCAAGUCCACUAUUCAGGUACGAUGUGAACUAAUAGACUUGAAUUUCAAAUAAACUGAUCCAUUCACUUUUUUUACUAUCUUUCAGUCGUUUGAUUGAGGUAUAUCUCAUUGAGUAGAAUGAAUUAACAAAAAUAUUUGUGUUUGAAUUAAGACCAUUUUGUCUGGUUAUUCUCUUGGGGAUAUAGGUAAUUUUGAUAUUUUUUAUAUUCGUAUCCAUCAAAACAAGCAUUUGAGUGUUCUCCAUUCAGCCUCGAAUAAAAGCAAGAUGUGCUAUAAGGAGGAGUUGUUUAGAUCAACGAAGUGGAAAUAUUCUCAUAUUAGAAAUCAACACUUAAUCAUCAUUAUAACAGAUGUUUCAGCAUCAACCAGCCUACUACUUGCAUAGCCAGGGUAACAAACACACACACACACACACACACACACUCACUCACUAACUCAUUUAAUCACUUCUAUAUGUGAGUCCUAGUGCUUGUUAUUGGAUCCCUUGAUUGGACAAGUCCAACUAUGUUUACUCUUUUAUCAGUUCCAGAUUUCAAGGUUAUUUUUUUAAAUUAUUUGUUAGCUUUGUUUUUCAAAGGUAACAUCUCAUAUGAAAUAAUGUUCUCUAGCAGAGGAUUUGUUUUUGGGUUUCUCUCAUUCCUAUAGCAAUACUUUCAGCUUGAAGAGAAUGUCAGCCAAAUUAGGCAGAGUA